UCGGGAAUUUUGGGCAAUGGGGGAAACCCUGACCCAGCAACGCCGCGUGAAGGAUGAAGUAUUUCGGUAUGUAAACUUCGAAAGAAUAGGAAGAAUAAAUGACGGUACUAUUUAUAAGGUCCGGCUAACUACGUGCCAGCAGCCGCGGUAAUACGUAGGGACCAAGCGUUGUUCGGAUUUACUGGGCGUAAAGGGCGCGUAGGCGGCAUGACAAGUCACUUGUGAAAUCUCUGGGCUUAACCCAGAACGGCCAAGUGAUACUGUCGCGCUAGAGUGCAGAAGGGGCAAUCGGAAUUCUUGGUGUAGCGGUGAAAUGCAUAGAUAUCAAGAGGAACACCUGAGGUGAAGACGGGUUGCUGGGCUGACACUGACGCUGAGGCGCGAAAGCCAGGGGAGCAAACAGGAUUAGAUACCCCUGUAGUCCCUGAGCGGGCUGGCAAGGCGCAU
rnacentral:rRNA from 1 species